GCCUUAAUUCCUCCUAAAACCCUCCCUGAGAGCUUUCAGGUGGUUGCUGGGGAGAGGUGCCUGUGAGUUAGGGUGGCAGGCCAGCCAGGCACAGGUGACAGCCCUGGGCUGAGCAGUGCCUCCAGAGAGAUUGAAGGGCUGUGGGUGCUGGUGGUGAUGGAGGAAGAGCCAUGUGCACCACCAUCCUGAUCCUGGGUCCACUGGUCCUCAUGCUGCGGCGCCGCUUCUGCAACAAAGUUGAACCGCACUCCGAGGGAGAGGAGGAGAUCCGGAGAGAGGCUGCCUCUGAAGCUCACGCCACGUAACAGCGCUUCGGAGCGAAGGCCAGGAUUUAUUGGUUUUCCUGCCUAUUUGGUGAGGCUGUGAAGUCUCAAGAAAAGUGUCUUGCUCUGGAGAAAGGAAAUUAAACCUGGAAUGGCUGGAUUGGAAUGGAAAACCUCAUUUUUCCAUUACUUUCAAUAGCAUUUCAGUUUCCAGCUCCCCUGCGCUCUGCAGCCGGCACCGAGCACAUCUCAGCCUCAGCACCUGCUGAAACCCUCAGAAAGCAACCCGUGACAGCAGCAAACCCACGUCACCCAGCUCAGGGAGGGCCAGGCUCUGGGCUAAAUGCUGGGCCAGGAAGGAGAUUUGCCUGUCUGAGGCUGAGCCCUGGGUGGUGGC